AGUGAACGCUGGCGGUAGGCCUAACACAUGCAAGUUGAACGGCAGCACAGUAAGAGCUUGCUCUUACGGGUGGCGAGUGGCGGACGGGUGAGGAAUACAUCGGAAUCUACUUUUUCGUGGGGGAUAACGUAGGGAAACUUACGCUAAUACCGCAUACGACCUACGGGUGAAAGCAGGGGAUCUUCGGACCUUGCGCGAUUGAAUGAGCCGAUGUCGGAUUAGCUAGUUGGCGGGGUAAAGGCCCACCAAGGCGACGAUCCGUAGCUGGUCUGAGAGGAUGAUCAGCCACACUGGAACUGAGACACGGUCCAGACUCCUACGGGAGGCAGUAGUGGGGAAUAUUGGACAAUGGGCGCAAGCCUGAUCCAGCCAUACCGCGUGGGUGAAGAAGGCCUUCGGGUUGUAAAGCCCUUUUGUUGGGAAAGAAAAGCAGCAGGUUAAUACCCCGCUGUUCUGACGGUACCCAAAGAAUAAGCACCGGCUAACUUCGUG
rnacentral:rRNA from 1 species